rnacentral:tRNA from 1 species
AAGUUUAGGUUACUCCUAAACCUAGGACCUUCAAAGUCCUGAACAGGGGGCUCAAACCCCUAACUUCCG